rnacentral:misc_RNA from 1 species
AGCCUGGAACUCAAACUUCUCCGCGUUGUCACGGAGAGACUUCCGUGACAUCGACUCGGCCUCCCUCUGGGCGACAUCGGAGUCCGUGGAGAGACCGUGCGGGAUGGCGCCAAGCUUGUCCUCGAUCUUAGGGGGAUCGACGAGCUCCCCGUCGUCGGCGCUCUCAUCGGCAGUGGCACGGCGACCUGAGUCUGGGACGGAGGCGAGGAGGAGCAGGAGGAGGAGAGCUGGUGGGAGCGCCCACUUCUUCAUGAUUCGAGAUGGGAUCUGCG